rnacentral:rRNA from 1 species
UGCGCAGGCGGUUUUGUAAGACAGGCGUGAAAUCCCCGGGCUCAACCUGGGAACUGCGUUUGUGACUGCAAGGCUAGAGUAUGGCAGAGGGGGGUGGAAUUCCACGUGUAGCAGUGAAAUGCGUAGAGAUGUGGAGGAACACCGAUGGCGAAGGCAGCCCCCUGGGCCAAUACUGACGCUCAUGCACGAAAGCGUGGGUAGCAAACAGGAUUAGAUACCCUGGUAGUCCACGCCCUAAACGAUGUCAACUAGGUGUUGGGUGGGUAAAACCAUUUAGUACCGGAGCUAACGCGUGAAGUUGACCGCUGGGGAUACGGCCGCAAGGUUAAA